GCCGGGUGUGUUGGCGGGCACCUGUAAUCCCAGCUACUUGGGAGGCUGAGGCAGAAGAAUUGCUUCAACCCGGGAGGCUGAGGUGGCAGUGAGCAGAGAUCACGCCACUGCACUCCAGCCUGGGCGACAGAGCAAGACUCUGUCUCAG
rfam:Pan troglodytes isolate Yerkes chimp pedigree #C0471 (Clint) chromosome 2A, whole genome shotgun sequence.